GACGAACGCUGGCGGCGUGCUUAACACAUGCAAGUCGAACGGGAGUAUUGAAGAAGCUUGCUUUAGAGAUACUUUAGUGGCGGACGGGUGAGUAACGCGUGAGGAGCUGUCCUAUGCAGGGGGACAACAGUUGGAAACGACUGCUAAUACCCCAUAAGCCGAGAGGUAAAGGGAGCGAUCCGGCAGAGGAGGUACUCGCGUCCUAUCAGCUAGUAGGUGAGGUAACGGCUCACCUAGGCGAAGACGGGUAGCCGGCCUGAGAGGGCGAACGGCCACACUGGAACUGAGAUACGGUCCAGACUCCUACGGGAGGCAGCAGUGGGGAAUAUUGGGCAAUGGGGGCAACCCUGACCCAGCGACGCCGCGUGGGUGAAGAAAUCCCUCGGGAUGUAAAGCCCUGUUGUAUGGGAAGAGCAGAAGACGGUACCAUACGAGGAAGCCCCGGCAAACUACGUG
rnacentral:rRNA from 1 species